AAGAAAGAGAGUUAACACUUAUUUUAUUACAGAAUUGCCACAAACCCAUGAGAUUUGAUUCAAACCCCGCGUUACGUGCAUAGAUAAAAUAAUGAAUGGGUCUUUCUAACGUAUGCAACAUUGCAUAGGAUAAGGUGUAAUAAAUUUACCUCUUGUUUCAACAAAAAUUAUCAUACUCCGUUUUAAAUUGUAUGUCACUUUAUAAAAAAUAUUUGUCAUAAAUUGUAUGUCGCUUUACAAUAUCAAUGAAAAAUAAAUGUUACUUUUCC
rnacentral:lncRNA from 1 species